rnacentral:rRNA from 1 species
UACGGAGGGUGCAAGCGUUGCUCGGAAUUAUUGGGCGUAAAGGGUAGGUAGGUGGUCUCAUUUGUCUGGGGUGAAAGCCUUGAGCUUAACUCAAGAAGUGCCCCAGAAACGGUGAGACUCGAGUCCUGGAGAGGGUCGUGGAAUUCCCGGUGUAGCGGUGAAAUGCGUAGAGAUCGGGAGGAACACCAGAGGCGAAGGCGGCGACCUGGACAGGUACUGACACUCAACUACGAAAGCGUGGGGAGCAAACAGG